rnacentral:lncRNA from 1 species
GGCAGAUCAAAGAUGCCAGUCUGUUACAACACAUUAGACUCAUCUGAGAACGUUCUUAAAAGAAGUGGUGUGACAGAAGGUCUGGACGACAUUGACUUGGGCGCCUUCCUACUGCUCUGAUGACUUCUCUCUUUUAUACUUUUUAAAACUAUUAGAAGAAUUUCUGGGAAAAGGCUGAUAAAGAUCAGCAGAAUUAUUGCCAGCCACGUGGAAACAGAAGUCAGCAUAUGGGCAAAUACAAAAUACAUUCUUUGUUGUUUCAAGAAAGGCCAAAUGACUCCUCCC